rnacentral:rRNA from 1 species
UACGUAGGUGGCAAGCGUUGUCCGGAUUUAUUGGGCGUAAGGGCGCGUAGGCGGCUUUUCAAGUGACGGGUGAAAUCCCUCGGCUUAACCGAGGAACUGCCUGUCAGACUGGAAGGCUUGAGUCCGGGAGAGGAGAGUGGAAUUCCUGGUGUAGCGGUGAAAUGCGCAGAUAUCAGGAAGAACACCCGUGGCGAAAGCGGCUCUCUGGAACGGUACUGACGCUGAGACGCGAAAGCGUGGGGAGCGAACAGG